rnacentral:rRNA from 1 species
GACGAACGCUGGCGGCGUGCUUAACACAUGCAAGUCGAACGGAAAGGCCCUGCUUUUGUGGGGUGCUCGAGUGGCGAACGGGUGAGUAACACGUGAGUAACCUGCCCUUGACUUUGGGAUAACUUCAGGAAACUGGGGCUAAUACCGGAUAGGAGCUCCUGCUGCAUGGUGGGGGUUGGAAAGUUUCGGCGGUUGGGGCUGGACUCGCGGCUUAUCAGCUUGUUGGUGGGGUAGUGGCUUACCAAGGCUUUGACGGGUAGCCGGCCUGAGAGGGUGACCGGCCACAUUGGGACUGAGAUACGGCCCAGACUGCUACGGGAGGCAGCAGUGGGGAAUAUUGCACAAUGGGCGGAAGCGUGAUGCAGCAACGCCGCGUGCGGGAUGACGGCCUACGGGUUGUAAACAGCUUUCGACUGUGACGAAGCGUGAGUGACGGUAAUGGGUAAAGAAGCACCGGCUAACUACGUG